rnacentral:snoRNA from 1 species
GAUCGAGGACGAUUUAUAGCACUGGGCACUGAAUUUUUAUUUGAUUGACAAUGCUUAAAGCAGGCCUCAGAAACCUGUGUGACUGAGAUC